GACGAACGCUGGCGGCGCGCUUAACGCAUGCAAGUCGAACGAGGUCCAUCCGGUGGCAACACCGGUGAAGACCGAGUGGCGAACGGGUGAGUAACACGUGAGGAACCCACCCCGGAGACCGGGAUAACCCUCCGAAAGGAGAGCUAAUACCGGAUGUCCUCAUCGGACCGCAUGAUCUGAUGAGGAAAUGGAUUCCGCUCCGGGACGGCCUCGCGGCCUAUCAGCUUGUUGGUGGGGUAACGGCCCACCAAGGCAACGACGGGUAGCUGGUCUGAGAGGACGAUCAGCCACACUGGGACUGAGACACGGCCCAGACUCCUACGGGAGGCAGCAGCGGGGAAUAUUGCACAAUGGGCGAAAGCCUGAUGCAGCGACGCCGCGUGGGGGAUGAAGGCUCUCGGGUUGUAAACCCCUUUCAGCAGGGACGAAAUCAGACGGUACCUGCAGAAGAAGCCCCGGCCAACUACGUGCCAGCAGCCGCGGUAACAC
rnacentral:rRNA from 1 species